UCUGGAGAAGGGGCAGCCGGGGCAGUGACUGAGAGGGUCCACAUGCAGACCCCCAGAGGUGAUGGGGGCCCACCAAGCAUGCUGCCAUGUACUCUGCCCGCAGCCUCUCACAGAGCCCCACAAGAACCCAUUUUACAGAUGAGGAAACUGACGCUCCAGGAGGUGAACUGGCUUCCUCAAGACUACACGGCUGGCAUUCAAAUCACAAUGAUUUACUGGCUCAGAGGGAGCUGUCACUUGAACAGAGGCUCAGAGAGGUCAAGUGCCUGCCUGAGGUCACACAGCAGCACGGAGA